AUGGUUUCCACCAUGGGCUGGUCCCCUCUUCUCCUCACCCUCAUUGCUCACUGCACAGGGUCCUGGGCCCAGUCUUUACUGACUCAGCCACCCUCAGCAUCCGGGGCCCUGGGCCAGAGGGUCACCAUCUCCUGCACUGGAAGCAGCACCAACAUCGGGGAUGGUUAUUGGGUGGGCUGGUACCAACAGCUACCAGGAAAGGCCCCCAAAACCAUCAUCUAUGAUACUAGCAAUCGACCCUCUGGGGUCCCUGAUCGAUUCUCUGGCUCCAGAUCUGGGAGUGUGGGCUCCCUGACCAUCACUGGGCUUCAGGCUGAGGACGAGGCUGAUUAUUUCUGUGCAUCAUAUGACAAGACUCUCAAGGGAAACAUCCUCAGGCAUAUUGUCACAGCGGGCUGCAAUGGGGGAGGGAACAGUUUCUCUAGGCGCUGGCAAGGAUUUAUGAUGCUGCUGCUGGAGGCGAGGUGUACGCCCUCAGAGACCACCACCACUCCCAGCCCCCAGCUAGGUCAACAGCCCAUUAAACUCUACAUCACAGUGACAGCACCUUACUGCAUGCCUGUGAAGUCACCUGGGGACUGUGGUCCUCGAUGGACUGCACCGUACAACAUGAUGCCGUCUGCUGCUACAAAUCUAUGA